GACAGAGGUGCCGAGCGUUAGGCGGAAUCACUGGGCUUAAAGCGUGUGUAGGCGGGUCGUUAAGUGUCUUGUGAAAUCCCCCGGCUCAACUGGGGAAUGGCUGGGCAUACUGGCGAUCUUGAGCAGUCUAGGGGCAGAUGGAACAAGUGGUGGAGCGGUGAAAUGCGUAGAUAUCACUUGGAACGCCAAAGGUGAAAACAGUCUGCUGGGGACUUGCUGACGCUGAGACACGAAAGCCAGGGGAGCGAACGGG
rnacentral:rRNA from 1 species